UAGAGUGUUAAAACUCCCAAACCCCUGUGAACAUACCUAUGUUGCUUCGGCGGGAUCGUCCCGGGCGCCCUGUGUGUCCCGGAGUCAGGCGCCCGCCGGAGGAUACAAACUCUUGUCUUAUUGAGAAUCUUCUGAGUAAAACAAACAAAUAAAUUA
rnacentral:misc_RNA from 1 species